rnacentral:rRNA from 1 species
UACGUAGGGCGCAAGCGUUAUCCGGAAUUAUUGGGCGUAAAGGGCUCGUAGGCGGUUUGUCGCGUCGGGAGUGAAAACUCAGGGCUUAACCCUGAGCCUGCUUCCGAUACGGGCAGACUAGAGGUAUGCAGGGGAGAACGGAAUUCCUGGUGUAGCGGUGAAAUGCGCAGAUAUCAGGAGGAACACCGGUGGCGAAGGCGGUUCUCUGGGCAUUACCUGACGCUGAGGAGCGAAAGUGUGGGGAGCGAACAGG